GUAGAUGAUGAAAUGUGCACUGGGCUCUGAGCAGUUCGAAACACGAACUGCUUCUUGAUGGAAAAUUCGCAGCCUAGAAAGCUAUAUUCUGAUAC